GAUUAUUUCGGACUUAGGAGUAUGCCCGAAUUGGGUCUUGGAUUACUCAAGAGCAUUUUGGCGCCUGUUAUAGAAGUUAGCAUUUUGGAUGAAAUUUUAUAAGUUUGGAUUGAAGUGCAUUUCAGUGUUAUCGAUGUCUAUUUGGGAUUCCGAUUCUGUGAAUAACUCUAUAUGGUGAUUCAUGGAGUUGGGAGCUCGAUUGAAAGUGAAUUCGGAGGUCCGUAGGUCAUUUUGGAGUCAUUUGGCUAAAUAUAGAAAUUUGGAGUGGACUUUUUGAUAUCGGGGUCAGAAUCCGAUUCUGAAAGUGGCAGUAGGUCUGUAAUGUCAAAUAUAACUUG
rnacentral:lncRNA from 1 species